CCAGCGAUCAUUUUUCUUUCCAUUUGAACAUCAAAAUUAACGGCAAGAUAACCACAUAAAUGGAAGCUUCAAGGAAGAUAAACAGAUAAAUGGAAAUAGAAACUCGAAAAGGAAACUAACCGGUUGCGGCGAGAUUGACCGACGGAUGUAGAGCAGUGGAGUGUACGGAGGUCGGGAAGUUUUUGUCCAUACUCAAGUCAGUGGUCCCUCCCUCAAUUCUCUUCAUCUCCAAGAAAACUUUACUGUCGGGCAAGGUCUUGUGGAGGGUGAAGUAAUUCAUACGGGCAUUCUUUGUUGUCACAGUGAAGUUUUCACAAAUUUCAAGCCAGAAUGGAGUGUACUCUUCAAGAUUCUCAACAGAAUAUGCUGAACUCAAAGAUCCUUUACCUAUCCUUUCAGCCAUUCCUUGUAUGAUGGCAACUAGACCAUCCAAAGCAAGAAUAUUCAAGGAAGAUAAUGGACUGUUCACAGGAAAUGCACUCUUGGACAACAAAUUAGCAAUGUCUUCAAAGAUAUUACAUGGAAAGUACAAGGGGACUCAUUGACAAACCAAAUUGCAUAAGAUUACAUAAUAAUUCAUCCUGAAUUAUGCUCAACAACCUAGGGUGUCGGUGAAAAGAAGAACCUCCCAAUUCUAUGGCUGAAUUAAUCAAAGUUAAGGCAAAAAGAGGAACGUCUUCAUCAAAUGCUAUUGUGUUUGAUCGAGGACUCAUUCCCAUAUGCUCAACAACGUUAAACAGUGAACACAAGAAGUGAAAUAUUUCCAGCAUGCAGGGAAUCCCAUGUGGUUCAUUCAUGAGUUGUUCAUUUAGAUCAGUCUCCUUGCCACUGCUUGUAGCUGUGUUUACAUCCACUAAAAUUGCUGUCGGUUCUGUAUAAUUCCAUGCUCGUGACCAGCAAAUAAAGUGUCGAGCUAAUGCACAACCAAUAAUCCUACACCUAAGCCCAACGGGAAUGGAUCAAACCCCACAUCAAACGCAUGCCAACUAAAACACCAUCCUGCUGUCAUGAAACAACGUGCUGCCACGAAGAGCUUUUCCGUUGCAGAUGCAUACAUGCUGCUACAACAUUUCUGCCAAGAAAUCCAACCAACUUUCCGUCAACAUAACAUGUAGCAUCACAACUGUCCCUUUAAAACCUCAUUUCACUCACACAAUUUAAGGGCAAUAAAGAGGAUUGUUUUGCUUCUCGUGCUGGGUAUGUUCAAAGCUGCAUUUCCAAUGACCGUGUUAUGAUUGAAUAACCGCAACGAACGUUGUUGUUCCAUGUAGCAGUGCAGUAGCAGUACUGGUACAAGUACAAACUCUAAAAAACUCAACUCGUUCCAAGUUUUUGGCCCAUUUAAUGACAGGAACCAAAGUAAUCCUGCAAACAGGGCAAUGUCUUGCAGAUCAUAAUAAUUACCAUGAGUUUUGCCGUCUUCUUGGUCAGUUCAGAGUGAAUUACCAGUUGUCAGAGCUAGUUAAUGUGGGAGGUUAUAGCCAUUGGAUACAUUUGGUUGCAGAGUUCACUCUUAAAUCUUUGCAGUCAUGGCAAUGGGCUAGCAACAAUGUAUACUACCUAUUGGGGUUGUGGUCCAGAUUGGUGGUUUCUGUUCCAUAUUUGAAGGGUGAUACACCAAGCUUACUUGGUGAAUAUGUUCCUAAGAUUACUGAAAAUGUCAUCACAUCAAGAUUCAAUUCUGUGCAGGUUGGAUUACCAUAUGAUCUCGAGAAUCCCUUAGACAAUGCUGAACUUCUUCAGGAUCAAUUAGAUUACCUUCCAGAUUUAUGCAGAUUUCAGUAUGAAAGCAGUAGCUUAUUUAUAAUAAACACAACGAAGCCUGUCUUAGGUUGUUCAUAUUGCUGCAGCAAUUCUUAAGACAAAACAAUGCAAUGGUUGUAGUGUGGAAUCUCAGGAAGUGUUAGAUGCCGAAAUUUCAGCCUGAGUUCUGCAGUUAAUUAAUGUAACUGACAGUGGAGUGCACAGUCAGAGAUAUGGUGAAAUAAGCAAACAAAGACUUGAUAGGGCAAUCCUUAUUGUUUUUCCGCAUUUUUGAAAGUCAUAUAUAGGAGAUCAGGCAAUUCUUUCUUCCAAGUACACCUAUUCCAAGAAUGUCGGGACUUUCGUUCUCCAAAAAUACUUCAAACGACGGAACCGAUUCAAAGGCCAUGUCCAAUUAUGCAUCACACCAUGCUCACGUAUGAUGUAACUCAUGUUCUGCAUAGUGAUGUAAGCAAAGAAUUUAAAAACCAAGAAAACUGGUCGGAAGCUUGGUCGUGCUCCUCGCGUUUCUUCCCCUUACCGGUUGCAGACAUUUCUGGAAAGUUGAAAGAGUUGGUUUCACUGUGUGAAGAGUGGUGUUCCUUGAGAUUCAGGAAUUGUCAUAUAACUUCCUGGUGAAGCUUCUGGAGAUAACUUGAAAUCCUGCCGAACAGUCUCGGUUCGUUCUGUAACCAGGUCAGAUGCAUUUUUCUCAGUAGUCUGCUUUGCACAAAACUCCUCGAGUGCCAUUUCUCUCCUUAUCGAUCCUGCCAAGACCUUUUCUACUGCUUUGGGAACUUGCUUCUUAGGCUUAUCAGCAGUAUCAGAGCAAUUAACAGGUACCAGCUGUAGGUUUGAGCUAUUGUCAGUCUCAUUGACUUAAUAAUAUUAGAUUCAUCAACUCCAUGUUGUCUCUGGUCCCAAUUCACCAGCCAAUUCAGCAUAUGGUUGAAGAUUUCGGCAUAUGUCACAGGUUUUGAACUGAAUUCCAGACCAGUUAAAAUGAUUUUGCAACAUAGCUGGCGAAGGCUACUGUUACUGAUAUCAUUAUUUCUAACAGACGGGCUGCCUCUUAGUUUAAACUAUAAUCCACUCGAGGAAAUAUCAGAUGAUUUUACAGGAGAUAGAGCCGCACCAGAUUGGAUUUUCUCUCCAGCCAGCAAGGAAUCUAUUGGACUUGCAGCAGAUGAGAAUGCUUUCUCUUUUAUCAAAAUGGAUGGUGCUGGCAAGCUGGAUUCAGUAACAGAAGCUGCCAUAUUGGCACUAGAAGCCUGUGAAUCUCUUAUCUACAUAAACAUGCUUGAUAAAGUCCCGAAGCCUGUCAACAUUGUUGCUAUCAGGUAAAGAAUGAGUUUGCGGAUCCCAUUCUUUAAAGAAUAUUUCUUUUGCAUGCUGAUUUCCUCCUUCUUGAAGUGCACUAACUUCUUGUGCAGUAAAUUUAGCCAUGGAAACCGACUUUACUCUAUGAGUAAAUUCUCGGUGUAUUCCACUACAGCUUGUGCAAACAAGCGUCCAGAAAUUUAUGCAUACAUAUUGCAGUCCCAAGCUAUUGCAAUUAAUGCAUCUUCGAUUCUGUGUAAGUUUGAGGAGACCUUGAAUAAUUCGUUCAUUUUUUCUCAUCUUCCUUUACUCGACUUGUCAUCUCCGCUUCUAAGAACUUAGAAGAUGAUGAAUGUGCAGAAGUAAUACUCUGGAACUCGAAAUUGAAAUGAAACCCUAAAAGUUGAUAAAAGUUGACGACAGAGUGAAAAAAAGUGAAAUGAGAAGAAGUGCCUGAUUUUGCAGGAGAUAAAGAAGCAGUUAAGCAACUUUUUUUUAAGCUGACGAUGACGGUCAAUGAGAAAGAUCCAGCAGUAUAACAACCAGAGAGAGGAAGUGAUUUUCUGAAUUGAUAAAUUACAGCUUUGUACAACUCAGAAUUUGCAUCCAUUUUUGCCUUGUUCUGACAAGAUUUUAAACAAACUCACGCUUCAAGGUGCUAGUAAUACCACUAUUAACAGAUUAAACAGAAACAUUUGCGGACAUUGAAUGUGAACUCUGGCCAGACUGGUUUUGCCGAGGAAGCCGAACAAAGUCCUCAUAGACACGCUGUUGUGACAGGGACAAUUGACCAGGCUUAGGGAAAGAAACAUCCUUCCAGCUGUAGAAAUUAUAAAUGAAGCGGUUUAAAUGGGCAGCUUCCCUAGCAAGGUCAACUUGGGGCAUCAUGAAAACUGCAAACUGUUGUACACUCUCGUCUAAUCUUAACCACUUAAGAGAAGGAAUGAACAUGAAAAUUUCUGCCGCCGUAUUGAUUCUGCAUGCAACCUGUCAUGCUGUUCCUGUGCAGUAUCAGCAGUGAAAGAAGCAUUGCCACAAAACUUAUUUUCCACCUGACCAUUUGGAUGAUCAUUCAAUGCAUUGUUAGAACUUAAAGAACAUCUAUUUCCCAUAACAUUUGUUGCCACAUUCUCCUCCUUAGCAAUGACACCAGCAUUCAGAUUGGCAGAAGGUGUUGCCUGAGAAAAUAGUGGAAGAAUAGUAACUCCUGCAUGGCCUCCUAUGACAGGUACAUUCACAUCGGCAACUGGAACUUUAGUUUUCCCAGCAUAGAAAGUUUUGGAUUGAUGUUUUUGAAAAGGAGGUAUGAAUUGAAUUAAGAAGAGCUCGUUGAAGCUUGAGAGGCGCCGACGUUUACUGCGAGGACGCUUUGCCGGGAUCAAGGUAAGUCAAAGUUGGAGCUCUCAACUGAGGAAUAGCUACUACUUUCGAAAACUGAAACUAGGUUGUAGGUUUGGCAAUGGGAUGCUGCCGACAGAAUUUCAACGCCUAUGUAUAUGUUGCAUCACAUUGUUCACUAAGAGCGAAAUUGAACACCAUUUCUAAUGACAGCUCCAUCGUUCUGUCAACCCAAGUAUGAUAGCAUCGUGUAACCCCAUAACGUCAACCAUACCGCAAUGUUUUCAAGUAUUCAAAACAAAACUGCAGAAGUGAUUUAUCCGGUUCGUUUGGAGGUGAACUCUGCAGAACUCAUUGUGUUUACUGCUGUGCAGGAACUUGGUUUAUGACAUAGAAUUCGUAGGAAGAUCAUUUUCCAUUGCGAAAGAAAGACCUUAUUGGCGAAGGAUGCACCGGUUGAUGUUGUGGCUCACAACUUAAUUUUUUGUAACUCUGUAGUUGUGUGGCUUGUAAUGGCCAUAAUGUUGAUAUGAAUGAAUAACUGGUAACGUUGCAAUGAUUGAAAAUGUAUCCAUUUCUAUAGGUAAAUACAUCGUAUAGUGCCGAGUUGUCCUGCAUUC